GCUAAGGCUCACGCAGUUAGAUAACUUGUCCAAGGUUACACAGCUUGUUAGUAGCAGAAUGAGGAUUCAAAUCUAGACGGGCUGACUCUCUACCUCCCUCUUGAUUGCCCUCACAUUGCUUUUCCUAGCCUCCCACACCUCCUGACUAGACCAGGGAUCCCUGCUUUUACCUGUGCUUGAGGAAGCUGUCUGUUCAGCUCAAGGACUGUUUUCCAACAACACUUGCCUUGUAUGUCCUUGAGCCCACUAGACAUCACCCUUUCAGAUCUUUUGCAUUUCUGGGAACAUUGUUUACUCAUGGCUCGUCUCUCCACUCAAAUCUCUGCUCGUAUCAGUUCCUCAGAGGGGUCUUCCCUGGAUUCCCCCAGAAGUCCCCUUCACCCUGUAUCCCUUGUUUUCUUUUUCCUUUCAGAGCUUGUCAUAAUGUGUUGAUGUGUAUUUAUCAUCAUGUGCCCUAGAAUUGAAGCUACCUGAAGACAGGCUUUUCUUUUUCACUGCUUUUUAAAAUUGACUCUUAGAUGCACAUUUCCCCACAAUCUAGCCCUCUGCAAAUCUGGAUGUGUCUUAUAAUUGCCAGUGUGACCUGGUUUAAUUAGUUGUAUUUGGUGGUUUUUUGUUUUGUUUUAUUCUGAGACAGGGUCUUGCUAAGUUACCAAGGCUGGCUUGAAUUUGCCAUCCUCUUGUCUCAGUCUUCCCAGUAGCUGAGACUAUAGGUAUGUGCCACCAUGCCUGGCUGUUUUCUUUUUUAAUCAUACCUCCAAUAAAUGUGAAUCUUUAAAAUGACAAUGUCAGGCUGGGAGUAUAGCUUGGUGACAGCAUUUGCCUAGGUUGUAUGAUCCCCAGCACUGCAAAAAUAUUUAAAAUAAAUGGUGAUGCUUUAAGAGUUUAGGAAAAUAUGUUUAUCAUCAGGGCCUAAAUUCUUGGUAGUACAUAGUUGGCACUCAGUAAUUGCUGAUCAAAGGAAGGCAUUGAACUGUGUGCCAAAACUACUAAAAUAUCUUUCACCCCCACAAUUAUCCUUUUAUGAAAUGCUUCCUGUUACCAAGACAGUCUGGUAGUGAGAAUUGAAUGCACGUUGAUCAUUUUGAAAGGCUUCAGGAGCCCAGAGACCUGUGUCCAUUCUGCUUUCUCUGCUGUGGGACCUCAGCAUGUCAGGGUGCCUCUCAUAUGCUCAGUUCUAUCCUUCUUUCCACAGACCUUAAUGCCGCUUGCCCAGUGCUGUGCAGACAGCCUUGAGAAGUUCCUGGGCUCAUUUGAGAGCCACAGAAUCAGCAAAUGUACAAUGUGCUGUGUGGACACUCAGAAGGGUUGUCUGGCCCACUGUGAGGUGCAGGAUGGUGUCUCAGGGAAGGCUUGCUGAGGGAGGG
rnacentral:lncRNA from 1 species